UGAUUACAUCAUGAAGGAGGCUACUGAUUCUGGCCCUGUGACACUUGGUGGUGACGUGUGAGCUGAUUCACCUGGACACUCAGCAAAAUAUGGACUACACCAUGAGGCAGGCACACGUUAAUACUCUAUAAGAGCACAUAAGCCUGGCUGAUCACCUGAUAACUCCUGUCAUCUGGUUAUGACAGCAUGAGGAUGUCCUCACACACCUGUAACCUAUCAGCUCAUCUGGCAGAAGAGAGAGAGAAGAGACAACACCACAUCUCCUGUUCCUGGAAAGCCUUCAGCCAUCCUUCAGUGACUGAGAACCUCCAUCAGCUCUGUCUCCUGUCUGCCUACAAUUAUUAUAAUAAAUAAUGUGUUUGACAAGUUUUUUGUGCUGCCAAAUAUCUCAUUUUGAUUCCAGUUUUGAUAUUUUAAUGGAUAUUUAUAAAUUACAUUAUUUGAAUUAUCACAUUGUUGCAUGUUUAACUAGCUCUAUUGUGAUGAAUUAAACUAGCACCUCACUGUUAAAAGCUCAUUUUAAUUUCAAUCAUGUUUAAGUAUUUAUGGACAUGAACAAAAACAGGAAAUGUAUAAAUUGAGAUUUAUUUAAUUAAUAUAACAAA